GAUGAACGCUAGCGGCAGGCCUAACACAUGCAAGUCGAACGGUAACAGGAAUUAGCUUGCUAAUUUGCUGACGAGUGGCGCACGGGUGCGUAACGCGUAUGCAACUUACCCCUAACAGGAGGAUAGCCUUUCGAAAGGAAGAAUAAUACUCCAUAAUAUUUAUAUGUGGCAUCACAUAUUUAUUAAAACUACGGUGGUUAGGGAUGGGCAUGCGUCCUAUUAGCUAGUUGGUGAGGUAACGGCUCACCAAGGCGAUGAUAGGUAGGGGGCCUGAGAGGGUUAUCCCCCACACUGGUACUGAGACACGGACCAGACUCCUACGGGAGGCAGCAGUGAGGAAUAUUGGUCAAUGGACGGAAGUCUGAACCAGCCAUGCCGCGUGCAGGAAGACUGCCCUAUGGGUUGUAAACUGCUUUUAUAUAGGAAUAAACCCCUCAACGAGUUGUGGGCUGAAUGUACUAUAAGAAUAAGCACCGGCUAACUCCGUGCCAGCCGCCGCGGUAACAC
rnacentral:rRNA from 1 species